GGAUGUGAGGGAUAUCUAGCUCCAACAUUGGUCACUCCACGGAUCAUCAGGGUUGAUUUGACUGAUCUGGUUGGCUGGUGGUGGGCCCUCCCCUCCCUUCUCACUGCUUGCUCUGGGUAUAUCCUUCCUGAAGCUGCAUUCUGUGACAAAGAGGACAACCUUCUGGAAAGAGGAGUUCAGUUUUCAUUCGGGGGGUAUCUCAAUUAGAUGGCCUUUAAAAUAGAUGGGUAU
rnacentral:snRNA from 1 species